rnacentral:RNase_P_RNA from 1 species
CCUGGAAUGCGGAUCACUGCUCGCGAGAGGCUUACGGCCAAUCGUGGGGGGAAAGUCCGGGCAUCAAAGAGCAGAUCACCGGUUAACGGCCGGCCGCCGAAAGGCGAGGACAAGUGCAACAGAGAAUAGACCAGCCAACGGCUCGCAUCAAUCCACAGGAUUGUGUUGAGUGCGGGUGAUGGGUGAAACGGUGGGGUAAGAGCCCACCAGCAGGAGAUGGGAGCCCAAAAGCUCUCUGAUAAAGUUCCUGGCUAGGCAAACUCUGGUCGAUGCGAGUUCGAAUAGGCAUGGAUGUGACGGCUCGUCGCGCUAUGACAUGCGGGUUGAACGCUAGAAGCUCACAGCAAUGUGGGUUCCAGAGGAAUGGUGGUCUCCCGGCCGAAGGGGAGUGAAAGACAGAACCCGGCUUACAGCAGUCCUGUGGGU